rnacentral:rRNA from 1 species
GAUGAGCGCUGGCGGCGUGCCUAAUACAUGCAAGUCGAGCGAACGGACGAGAAGCUUGCUUUUCUGAUGUUAGCGGCGGACGGGUGAGUAACACGUGGAUAACCUACCUAUAAGACUGGGAUAACUUCGGGAAACCGGAGCUAAUACCGGAUAAUAUUUUGAACCGCAUGGUUCAAAAGUGAAAGACGGUAUUGCUGUCACUUAUAGAUGGAUCCGCGCUGCAUUAGCUAGUUGGUAAGGUAACGGCUUACCAAGGCAACGAUGCAUAGCCGACCUGAGAGGGUGAUCGGCCACACUGGAACUGAGACACGGUCCAGACUCCUACGGGAGGCAGCAGUAGGGAAUCUUCCGCAAUGGGCGAAAGCCUGACGGAGCAACGCCGCGUGAGUGAUGAAGGUCUUCGGAUCGUAAAACUCUGUUAUUAGGGAAGAACAUAUGUGUAAGUAACUGUGCACAUCUUGACGGUACCUAAUCAGAAAGCCACGGCUAACUACGUG